GAAAAAAUAAAAGAAACUAAAAAAGAAUUGAAAAGAUAACUACCCAACCACUUCCCCACCGCCACCCCCUCCUCCACCACAUCUUCUUUCCCUUCCCCUCCCAAACUUCCACCACUCCAACACAUCUCCCUGCUCCUUCCAACCUGCCACCACCCUGUCCCCUCUCUAACAGCCAUUACCCACAACCACUCAUUUGCACCUACCCAACAACCUUAAUUUAAAAAUUGUAGUGGUUGUGCUUAGACUACACCGGAACUAAAGUCGGAGGCUAGUGGGGAAGGAAGGGUGGUAGUAGAGUGGGGGAAGGAAGGUAACUAACAGACAUGGGAGGAGGGUAAUUAGCAGGUCAAACUUAUGGUGCAGGCUGAUGAGUAAAUGCAGGAAGCACUUUUUUGAAGGAUUAAAUUUGAGCUGGGGAUUCUUUGGCCGCACCCUCUUUAUUCUUAUGGGUUUUCGUCGUACUUUUCUUUUCAGACCCUGUUUAUAAUCCCUAUAAACAGGUACACUGGGUAAUGAUGAUUAUGAUAAUGAUAAGAGGAAAACGUCAAUGUGUGGCUUCUCGCUUGGCGAAGGUAGUUGCUCGACUCGAGUUGUAACGCAUUUAGGUGUAAAGUUAUGGAGAAACACCAUCGGUUUCUCAUAUAGAAUUAAAACAAUAUCAUAGUUUCUCGUUCAGAUUAACAGAGAAUCUUGCAUUGAAGAAAAUGAGACAAAUAUUAGUGGACCUAAAGUUGAACAGCAUGGAAACACGACCAUUGACCAAGCGAGCGAAGCAUAAUGCUUUUAAGUUAUACCUUCUUUGCAUUAGAUGAUUUAUUUCAUAUCAAUAAUUAAAGAAAUUGUGCAUUAGAAACAAUUGUCUAGAACAAUCCUCUUAUUAUCUAUUUACUGUAAAUAAUUACUUCUAUUGAUUAUUUUUAAAUAAUCUAACCUUUGUAUAUUA